rnacentral:rRNA from 1 species
GUAGAACGCCGAAGAGAGGAGCUUGCUCUUCUUGAAUGAGUUGCGAACGGGUGAGUAACGCGUAGGUAACCUGCCUUGUAGCGGGGGAUAACUAUUGGAAACGAUAGCUAAUACCGCAUAACAAUGGGUGACACAUGUCAUUUAUUUGAAAGGGGCAAUUGCUCCACUACAAGAUGGACCUGCGUUGUAUUAGCUAGUAUGUGAGGUAACGGCUCACCUAGGCGACGAUACAUAGCCGACCUGAGAGGGUGAUCGGCCACACUGGGACUGAGACACGGCCCAGACUCCUACGGGAGGCAGCAGUAGGGAAUCUUCGGCAAUGGGGGCAACCCUGACCGAGCAACGCCGCGUGAGUGAAGAAGGUUUUCGGAUCGUAAAGCUCUGUUGUAAGUCAAGAACGAGUGUGAGAGUGGAAAGUUCACACUGUGACGGUAGCUUACCAGAAGGGGACGGCUAACUACGUGCCAGCAGCCGCGGUAAUACGUAGGUCCCGAGCGUUGUCCGGAUUUAUUGGGCGUAAAGCGAGCGCAGGCGGUUUGAUAAGUCUGAAGUUAAAGGCUGUGGCUCAACCAUAGUUCGCUUUGGAAACUGUCAAACUUGAGUGCAGAAGGGGAGAGUGGAGUUCCAUGUGUAGCGGUGAAAUGCGUAGAUAUAUGGAGG